UACUCGAGUGGCGAACGGGUGAGUAACACGUGGGUGAUCUGCCCUGCACUUCGGGAUAAGCUUGGGAAACUGGGUCUAAUACCGGAUAGGAGCCAUCUUUAGUGUGGUGGUUGGAAAGUUUUUUCGGUGUAGGAUGAGCUCGCGGCCUAUCAGCUUGUUGGUGGGGUAAUGGCCUACCAAGGCGGCGACGGGUAGCCGGCCUGAGAGGGUGUACGGCCACAUUGGGACUGAGACACGGUCCAA
rnacentral:rRNA from 1 species